CUUUAGAGCAAUCCAAACAAACAAUAAUUCCAAAUUUCAGAACGAAUCCAUUACACAUUCCACAGCUGCGGGGUAAAAGUAAAUACAUUUUGUCUUUUUAAUGAACUAAACAGAGAAAAAAACAAACAUUCACAAACUAUUUCGAGCAGUGUCCUGUAACUGCAAGUCCCAGAUUGCCAACAAUGAGAAAACACGAACAACAAACCCAGUUUGAUCCCAACAAGUGGGUUCUGGGAGGGUAGUCUGUACGCAGACCUUACCCCUACCUAAUUCAGGUAGAGAGGCUGUUUCCAAUAGACAAAAUGAGAAAACAUAAACAGAACAAGAAUUCGAUAUCUACACUUGUUCUGGAUGUAAACCAUUAAAGUCAAAUUUAUUAUGAAAGCGAGAUUCUUUCUAGUUUAGUUUUUUUUUUUGGAUAUCCAAUUGUCUUAUCUUAAUCCGAAUGUUGGGAAAUAUACAUCUUUAUGAUGUAUUAUAUGACACCACAGAAACUAGUUCAGCAGGACCUUUAUAUCUCACAAUAAUUAUGAAAUUAGUAAUGACUCAGAGUAUGGAAGUCCAAGGACAAAUUGCUCUUAUACUAUAAGCAUAGGUACUUAACUAUAUAACUAUCACCAUUUGGAAGGAAAGCUAAAUAUAAGAUAUCACUAGGUUAAAAAUGGAAUGUCUCCCUCAUCCCAGUAUAAUCAUAUUUUUUAAAAUGGAACUACUACCCUUUCUGAACUUCUACCCUUUAUUAUAUAGAGCCAAAUAGUCACGUGAGAAUCACUUUUAUCAAUUAGUUUUUCCCCUUUUCCAUAUAAAAUUUAAACAUCAAAUUACGAGGAUUAUGUGUUCCAAUUAUGGAUGGUAGUGGGGCAAGGUGGGGCAGGGGAGUGCUUAGGCAGACAGGCAGGACCUAUGAUAUAACCACUUUAACCUACAACGACAGAAAGGGCAGGGAGCCUCAGGUGUCUCGAUGCCUCCGAUAUAACCACUUCUAAUCUAAGACGACAGAAAGAUGUAGUGGGUUUCUGUAGUUUUGCGUUCUGCCUGGUUAAUAUUAGUUAGUUUAUGAGAAGUCUUCAUUCUUCAUUGUUGGAUUUAGUGUAUUUUCUUUAAGCUUUGGAAAAAGAGAGAUUGUUCAGGGUUAGGGUUGAGUAUACAGGAUUAUUCUACUGGGACUUCUAAAUCUUUAUUAUGUGAGCUUUUGUUUUCUGCAGGCACGACCUUUGAGAUAAUAGAAGUUAGUUUAUAACUAAGUUUACUGCUUAUGAUGCUUAAGAUAAUUUAAUUAGUAGUAUAGGAACAGCUUUUGACUGAGGAAAGGGCUGUGACACUUCAACCUUAUAGUGAAUAUCAAUGACUAGUUUGCUAAGAUGCAUAAUUUUAAACAUAUUAGAUGGGGAUUUUCCCUUCACUGAGCCGAUGGUCGAUUGGAAACAGCCUCUCUGCCCUUUUGGGUAGGGGUAAGGCUCGUCUACAUAUUACCCUCCCCAGACCCCACUUUGUGGGACUAUACUGGGUAGUUGUUGUUGUUGUAGAUGGGGAUUUGGCCGGAUGUUGAAGCCUCUAUGAUGUGAUUUCCCAGAUAAUUGGUUUUCUUUGAAAGGAGCGAAAGAAAAGGAAAAACUAGUUAGCAUAUUUCGUUUUUAGGUAACCUCCAGAUUGGGAAUGUUAUGGUUUUACAUUGUAAAUAUUCUGGGAAAAUAAUAGGAGAAUUUUUACAAGGAUAUUUUAUUCCUAUAUGGUUGUUGCUAGCUAUCAUUCUCAUGGUUUUGUAGGAAAUUCUUUGCACUGCCAUGUAUGUUGUAUUUUUUAUUAUAUCAGUAUGCAUAAGAUUAAAGCCAUUAUCUUCAUGUGCACCUAGUUGUUAGAGUUAACAAGAUUACUAUAAUUAAGAGGACAAAAUAUAAAAAAGAAAAAUAAGAAGCAAACUGAAAUGAAAAAAUUUUAAAAAGAAAAAUAAGUGAGAGGGGUGGGGGUGCUGGGUGUAAAUAGGGGAUUAUGUUAAACAUGAAAGCAAAGGUGGGGUUAAAACUAUGGCGGAAGAAAGAAUCAUCAGCCCCAUUUAUCAUCCCCAGAUCCCCUUAGCUAAGCCUAAGCAAUCAACAUAAGUUAACUCUUAAUAAAUGUGCAAAGUCAGACAAGAAAAUUUCAGAAAACUAGCAACUUUAAUUGAAAGCACAAGUGCAAAGGUGUCAAUUAGAACCCACAAAGCAAGCUAUCUUAAUUCAUUUUUGUUAGAAGUCUAACUGUAUUAGAAGUCUAGUCUAAACUGUAUUAGGAGUAGGCUAGG
rnacentral:lncRNA from 1 species